rnacentral:rRNA from 1 species
GUUGCAGGGUAUAGACCCGAAACCCGGUGAUCUAGCCAUGGGCAGGUUGAAGGUUGGGUAACACUAACUGGAGGACCGAACCGACUAAUGUUGAAAAAUUAGCGGAUGACCUGUGGCUGGGGGUGAAAGGCCAAUCAAACCGGGAGAUAGCUGGUUCUCCCCGAAAGCUAUUUAGGUAGCGCCUCGUGAAUUCAUCUCCGGGGGUAGAGCACUGUUUCGGCUAGGGGGCCAUCCCGGCUUACCAACCCGAUGCAAACUGCGAAUACCGGAGAAUGUUAUCACGGGAGACACACGGCGGGUGCUAACGUCCGUCGUGAAGAGGGAAACAACCCAGACCGCCAGCUAAGGUCCCAAAGUCAUGGUUAAGUGGGAAACGAUGUGGGAAGGCCCAGACAGCCAGGAUGUUGGCUUAGAAGCAGCCAUCAUUUAAAGAAAGCGUAAUAGCUCACUGGUCGAGUCGGCCUGCGCGGAAGAUGUAACGGGGCUAAACCAUGCACCGAAGCUGCGGCAGCGACACUCAGGUGUUGUUGGGUAGGGGAGCGUUCUGUAAGCCUGCGAAGGUGUGUCGUGAGGC